rnacentral:rRNA from 1 species
AUUGAACGCUGGCGGCAUGCUUUACACAUGCAAGUCGAACGGCAGCACGAGUGCUUGCACUUGGUGGCGAGUGGCGAACGGGUGAGUAAUACAUCGGGAACGUGUCCUAAAGGUGGGGGAUAACGCAUCGAAAGAUGUGCUAAUACCGCAUAAACUCUACGGAGCAAAGUAGGGGAUCGAAAGACCUUGCGCUUUUGGGAGCGGCCGAUAUCUGAUUAGCUAGUUGGUAAGGUAAAGCUUACCAAGGCGACGAACGAGUAGUUGGUCUGAGAGGACCGACCAGCCACGACUGGGACUGAGACACGGCCCAGACUCCUACGGGAGGCAGCAGU